rnacentral:rRNA from 1 species
AACAAGGUUUCCGUAGGUGAACCUGCGGAAGGAUCAUUAUUGAAUUUUAAUGAAGAGU